ACGGAAGGCAGCAGUGGGGAAUAUUGCACAAUGGGGGAAACUCUGACGCAGUGACGCCGCGUAUAGGAAGAAGGUUUUCGGAUUGUAAACUAUUGUCGUUAGGGAAGAGAAAGGACAGUACCUAAGGAGGAAGCUCCGGCUAACUACGUGCCAGCAGCCGCGGUAAUACGUAGGGAGCGAGCGUUAUCCGGAUUUAUUGGGUGUAAAGGGUGCGUAGAUGGGUAAUCAAGUUAGUUGUGAAAUCCCUCGGCUUAACUGAGGAACUGCAACUAAAACUGAAUAUCUUGAGUGCAGGAGAGGUAAGUGGAAUUCCUAGUGUAGCGGUGAAAUGCGUAGAUAUUAGGAGGAACACCAGUGGCGAAGGCGACUUACUGGACUGUAACUGACGUUGAGGCACGAAAGUGUGGGGAGCAAACAGGAUUAGAUACCCUGGUA
rnacentral:rRNA from 1 species